rnacentral:rRNA from 1 species
GAUGAACGUUGGCGGCGUGCCUAAUACAUGCAAGUCGAACGAAGACUGUAGUAAUACUGUCUUAGUGGCGAACGGGUGAGUAACGCGUGGGUGACCUGCCCCGAAGUGUGGGAUAACAGUUCGAAAGAACUGCUAAUACCGCAUAAUAUCCAAGAGAUUAGACGCUUUUUGGAUUAAAGGAGUAAUUCGCUUCGGGAGGGGCCCGCGUCCCAUCAGCUAGUUGGUAAGGUAAUGGCUUACCAAGGCGAUGACGGUUAGGGGACCUGAGAGGGUGGCCCCCCACAAUGGAACUGAAACACGGUCCAUACACCUACGGGUGGCAGCAGUAGGGAAUAUUGGUAAUGCGCGAAAGCGUGAACCAGCAACGCCGCGUGUGCGAUGAAGGCCUUCGGGUUGUAAAGCACUUUUCGGGAGGAAGAGGAAGGACUGUACUCCCAGAAUAAGCCUCGGCUAACUACGUGCCAGCAGCCGCGGUAAGCUCGUCUCUA